rnacentral:lncRNA from 1 species
GCACAACAAAACAAGAAAAUAAAUAAAAUGUAAUUGAUAAAUAACAAAACGAAUGCAUUUAUUGUUGAAAGCUGCAGGUAGUAUUUUCCUGAUAAGUAAGUAUGCAUUUCAGUCAAUAAUCACAGAUUUGUGGGUUGAAAGAUGCUUAAAUAAAGAUAUGAGUCACUAAAAUCCUGUAUCUGCUAAGCUAAUAACACAACAAGGAAUGUUUGUAACAAAAGACGCAGAAAACCAGAUAAGAUUUAGAUAAAAGAACAAAAGUAAAUUGAUUUUGAUCAUUUUUUUAGUUUGUUUUUGUGUUUUUUUUUAUUAUUAUUAUUUCUUUCGCCACUGUCUUGUAUGGUCAGACCGGUAGCUAACUUUCUUUUGGCUAUCAUUAGCUUUCGCCUUUCCCUCCGUAGGCAGGCCGGGGCUGCCGGGCAGUUUGGCCCUGCUAUUCCCCCGUUUAGCUGAGGUUAGCAUCGACUACCCCGCUGUAUCUGAGCAUCCUUCCACCAUAACAAGACCAGAGUCAAGGUCGCGAGUAUCGACGGGCAACAGGUCAAGAGAUAAGCCGUGGUUUAUGGCUAGCUCCCGUAUCAGGAUCAACGGAAGGGAAAGCCGCAUCCAUGAAGCCGCGUCCCUCCCCAGCUCUGCAGGCAAACUUACUGCUGCACUCCUCGUCUGCGCAUCUUUUAAAGUCAGAGAAUCUCCUCUCCAAGGCUGCAUUAGUGUAGCCGGACUUGACUCCGCCGCCGCCGGAGCAUGAGCAGUGGGACGCAGGAGCUGACACGUCAGCAGUUAAGAUCCGGCUGGGUGGAGGCCCGGACGGGUUCGCAUCGAUGGAUGAGGCGGACUCCGGUACCUGGGAAUCAGCCUCAGGUCCACACCAGAAUAAACACGGAGACUGAAAAGCACGACCUCAUUCUCUAAUUACUCACUUAGCUCCAAUAACAAACCACUCAACAUUAUUUUCUGAGCAAAAGUAACGCAAUUACAAGGAAUUAGUAAAAUAACUCACUGAAAAACAUUGUAGAAGACUUCCUUAUAUUGAAAGCAAAGAUAACUAAUUACUACUAGGUUUAAAAAACGAC